rnacentral:lncRNA from 1 species
UGACACAGCAACACGGACCAGCCUCAGACAUCAGUCUGUAAGGUGACAAACCCCUGUAUGCAAUGACGUUUUUCCUUAGCGUACAUCAAGAACUGUAUGGGAACGCUGCUGAAACAUUUUCAACAUCCUCAUUUAGCAAAUAGCUAGAGGCAGAUGAACCAGCUAUUAUCUGCCACUGAAUGAAGGCUGCAAGAUGAAACAAAAAUAGCCUGUCGGGGUUCCAGGCGUACAUUUCCUAUUGUGUUUGUGCUCAGCAACAGCAGAGAAAAAACCACAGAUGGCACGCUAGCCUUUUGUAAUCAGCUAAUGGACAUCAGUAAUGUAUAGCCAUCAGAAACCUGUCUUGAAUAUGCCUGGGAUAUGCUUGGGGAGGCAGAGCAUCUUGUGUCUCAGCUAAUUGCACGUAAACCGUCGACAUUUAAGAACUGCGUUUGCAGGGCAGCUGGACCACGGGAAGAUUUUUGCGCUAUAAGCUGAAGCAAAUCAGCUCAACUUGAGGAAUCUCUGCACAUAAAUUGUGGGUGAACACCAAAAGCACCGGAUGAAGGUGGUUAUUUGAGCCAAAAGGGGUGAUUCAGCUUGUUAACGGAUUAAUCCAGCUCCUUUUUAAUUAGAAAGUCUUUCACCAUUUCCGCCUCCGAAGCAGCUUUCCAACGGCAGGUUUAUUGCAGGAGGAACCCGUCAGUGGCAGGAAGGAACUGACCAUGGCACCGAACAGAAUUUAUCAGAGAUUUCACGAGGAAAAAGUCCGCCCGUGAAAUUUUAAUGGGAUGUACAUGCAGCGGUGGGUGGACGUAAAAAAUUUCAAUUGAUUUACAUCAAAUUGAAUUUUGUACACACCCAGAUCUAAACGCUUAUCCGCUCUAUCUUGGAAUUUGGUACAAACAAAUGUCCUCUGAAACUUGUGGUUCGUGAAGAGGUUCAGAGAUGAUUGACUUUUAUGGGUAUUGUUUUAUCCUAACCAACCCUUCCGUCCCUAAAUAUUAAUCUCAAACAUUUUUGUGUGGUUGCUGCUCAAGCGAAUAUUUCAUUUGAAAGUCCCUUUAGCAACACGGAGAGGAAUUGAGAGCUGAGCUCCCUCUUUGUGCCUAACCAACUCCUUCUGCCACAGAAUCUUAUUAGCGAACCCCUCGAGGAGCAGCUCUCGUUUGUCUUGGGGAGAAAAACAAAGUUCUUGUACACUCAGCGAUAAUGGUUUAGUUACAUGCCUCAUUUUAUGAAGGGCAUUAUCUCUAAUACGUGUCAUUUCAGGACGACUGGAAUAUUCAUUUGUUUUGAUGGUGAUAAAUGAGUUGUAGAAAGUGACAAAGGUUUGCGAUCGCUUUGUUGAUCUAGCCACGUUCCAAAUCCGCUGAACUAAGAAAAAAAAAAAUCCGUCCAGUUUGAUGAGGAAAUAAAAAGAGCAUAACUUGAUGAGUAUCUAAAUGA